GCCUGGGUGGCUCAGUCGGUUGAGUGCCCGACUUCAGCUCAGGUCGUGAUCUCACCGUUAGUGGGUUCAAGCCCCACGUCAGGCU
rfam:Felis catus isolate Cinnamon breed Abyssinian chromosome A1, whole genome shotgun sequence.